rnacentral:rRNA from 1 species
UCGGAGAGUUUGAUCCUGGCUCAGGACGAACGCUGGCGGCGUGCCUAAUACAUGCAAGUCGAGCGGACAGAAGGGAGCUUGCUCCCGGAUGUUAGC